rnacentral:rRNA from 1 species
GGAUGCGAUCAUACCAGCACUAAAGCACCGGAUCCCAUCAGAACUCUGUAGUUAAGCGUGCUUGGGCGAGAGUAGUACUAGGAUGGGUGACCUCCUGUGAAGUCCUCGUGUUGCAUUCC